rnacentral:pre_miRNA from 1 species
CAACUACUCCCUCUGUCCCAAAUUUCUUGUCUUAGAUUUGUCUAGAUACGGAUGUAUCUAAUACUNAGAUUUGUCUAGAUACGGAUGUAUCUAAUACUAAAAUGUGACUUGAUACAUCUGUAUCUAGACAAAUCUAAGACAAGAAUUUUGGGACGGAGGGAGUACUUU